rnacentral:lncRNA from 1 species
AAAAAAGGGAACAACAAGUAUAUGAGACAAAGAUAAAAAUGCUUGCUUUAUUUGAUGGGUGUCAUUCAUUCAAUCAUGUCUGAAUUGGGAUGGAUGUGAAGAUCUUGGUGGGAUCCUUUGUGGAGAUGGUGGACCAUUUGGGAAUUAGUACGUUGAACAGGUAUGUAUUAUGAUUUGAGCUUGGAUUAAUUAUCGACAAUAAUCACUGUACAUGAGGUUAGCAGAUCUUUUCUCUAUUAUGGUUGGCGUGUCAAUUUAGGCUAACCUAAUCUAUAUCUUUGUUGAAUAAUUCAUUAGCUUAAUUUUGUUACUAUAUGAAUGAAAUGAUUGUCUUUUUAAAUAGUUACUACUGGAUUGUCGGUCAGCCAAAUGUAGACUGUUUAAUGGAAUCAUUCUGAUAGGCUAUAAGCCUGAAAAAUGUACUACUACUAAACAAGAUAGGUUACUUAUGAAUGUUGAGCACAAACCAACUAACUGUUUAAUCACUCAACCCGUCUGCGACACGUGGAGGACGAGUGUUCCUACCACAUUUUGCGACAGGGUUUUUUAUCCAUCUCUACCAUGUUCGGUACAUGUUCCCAUUCCUUUUCGAACACGUUCGGAAAGGGUUUUCUACCCAUCUCUACCACAUUUCAUACGAAAAUGUUACUGUCCAUCUCGCGGCUUCGGUGAUGUCCCCGGACUUCGACAUAGAGUGACCCAUAGAAGGGUUUGGUAUGUGUUUGUUUCAGGGUUCAUGGUUUUUGAAAGAUAAAAUAUAUACAAAGUACUACUAUUUUUAGGUGCAUGAAUAUUAGUAUUUUGUGAGAUUCAGUAAAAUAGUACUAGUUGUCAACUUCAUUCCCAAUCUGUCUAUCUAUGCAAACAACUAUAACACAAUGCUAGAUUCUUACCUGCCUCACCUGUCUUCUAAUUUUCUUUUUAAAAGCUGUAAUUCCUAAUCUAUGUUGAUUUGAUUUGGUGAACUAACUCCAUCAUCUAGUCGUAGGUUGGUUGAACCGAAUCUAACACUAACGAAUGAGUUGCUUGUUAUAUCAUGAAAAGUAACAACGAGAAUUUACCCGCGAGAGCAAGCAAAUCAAGGAUUGCAUUUGGUUCCUGCCAACAGAAUCACCAACAAAGGCCAAGGAUUUCCCCCUCACAAUCUCCAGAAACUGAG